UACGAAGGGGGCUAGCGUUGUUCGGAAUUACUGGGCGUAAAGCGUGCGCAGGCGGUUUUGUAAGUCAGGGGUGAAAUCCCCGGGCUCAACCUGGGAAUGGCAUUUGGGACUGCAAGGCUGGAGUGUGGCAGAGGAGACUGGAAUUCCUGGUGUAGCAGUGAAAUGCGUAGAUAUCAGGAGGAAUACCGAUGGCGAAGGCAGGUCUCUGGGCUGACACUGACGCUCAUGCACGAAAGCGUGGGGAGCAAACAGG
rnacentral:rRNA from 1 species